rnacentral:lncRNA from 1 species
AAACCACCAAAAAAACCAUCAUUCCAUACCCAAAAAUCAUCAUAACCAUGUAUAAUUAAUUAACUUUACAAAAGACGGAACACAAAAAUACAAAUGGGCAGAAAAUAGAGAAACAACAUGUUGCAUAAGAAACAACCUAUUUUGAUAUUCAAAUUAGCUUCCUUUAAGGGCAUAGAGAAGUACAGAAGUACCAAAUUUGCAAACACCCUUGCUUUAUUUUUGUGUAUAUAGUAAUGAAGUCUUGCCUAUAAUUUUCCAUCAUACUCUACGCUUAUUUCUAAAGUUUCAAGCUUCAGUGGGCACCCAAAACACUAAGCGUCACUAUUUGGGCUCAUAAUACAGUUUUUGAAAUCAUAAGCAGAAAAUGGUCUGCGAACCAAAUCCAUUCACUCAUUUACAAAUUAGUCAAAAAGCCACAAAUGUCAUGGAUAACAUCCUAAAAAAGGAAAAUCUGAGGAUUCAGCUAUCAAUUGUGAAAUCUAGCUAGUUGUAUGACAAUUUGAGUUACAUUUGCAAAUAAUCUCAAACCCCGAGUAAUGAAAACACAAAAUUUAACUUUCAAUUUCAAUUUCUUCUCAUUCCCAGCUUAGUCGAAUACCAACGAAACUUAAUAGAAACACUAACUUCUAAUCAUAAGUUUAUAAGAACCAACUUCUGAUCACAAGUGUUUGAUAUUAACAGACCUAACUAAAUCUAAAAAUUUGAAACUAGAUAUUAGAAAAACCAUCCUAAAUCACAAAAGUACACACAGCUAUUGUAAUUUAAUCAAAAUCUCUAACAAUACCAGUUUAAAAACUGCCCAUAUGAAAUCUGAAUAAAAACAAAAACUACCCAUACAUAGGUGAAGAAUCAAUUAAACCCAAACCCAUACAACAAUCAAAUCAAUUGAACCCAAAAUCUCAAUUAAAGAGUCGAAAAAAGUGGAAUCAAUACAAUAAUAAUCAGUCAUCUUGUUGCAUGUAUAGCGAGAAAGAUUAUAGUACUGACCAGUAGAGAUAUUUCAGUGUGAAAAUCAUUUUGAUUCACUUGGUUUGCUUUUUGUCAGACGAUCCUUCGUUCUGGGUCAGCUCACGACCUCCAUUGCUUCACUGGGUAAUUUGGAAAUAUAUGAAUAUCUAUAUAGUUAUAUAUAUAUAUAUAUAUAUAUACAUAUAUAUAUAUAUAUAUUGAUACCCAAGACUAAGAAGCAGAACAAUAAAAUUAAUUAUCAUCUCUGAACCGCGGAAGUGUAAUCAACAGAAACAAGGCGCCGAGGAAGAGGAGAGCCAAGAGGAGAAGGUCUUAGAUCUUCGAUUUCUUCUUCUGCUUCUGCUUUUUUCAAGUGAACCCAAUUAGGGCUAGGUAUGAGAGAUAAGAGAUUAGGGGAGUAAGGAGUUGGCUGGGUAUGCUCUCUGUGAAUGUAAGAACAGAGAGAUAGAUAAAAGGUUUGAAAUUUGAAUAAGGAGAAGCUCAGAUGACUUUGAAUAAGAACAGAGAGAGAUGAUGACGUAAACUUUAGAUGGGACAUUUAUGUUUUCUCUCUCUACUCUGUUUUAUAUUAUAGAUUA